GUGCUUUCUUUGGCAGCAAUGUACAAUAAAAAUGGAAUGACAGAGGAAAUUAGCACACUUCUUGUGCAAGGAUGACACACAAGGGAGGCAUUCCAUAUUCCA
rnacentral:snRNA from 1 species